ensembl:lncRNA
UAUGAAUGAAACAAAUCGCCCAUAACUGCUUAUGCAAAUCGCCAUAACUACCAGGAGGCGUUUUCAUAUGCUCAUCUCUGUAUCCACAGCUGAGGCAACUGCAGAAGGAAAGUCCAGGUCGAUUCCUCUCACAAGAUGGAGAAAUUGAACUACCGGUGGACUAGGUUUCCAUGCAUAGCUUAUCAGUGGUGGAGGCAGAAAUUAAGUCCAGUUCAGCGUCUCCUGCGCUGGGGAGCAGAACCACAGAGCCACUACAGCACAGCCAGUGAUUUCUUCCAUCUCCAGCUCGGCCUGCUGCCUGCAAGCUCACGACCUUUGGUGUCAUUCAGACCAGAGGAAAGAGGAAUGAACUGUGAUUCCAGAGCCCAGCAUUGAGUAUUGGCUCUGACACUGGAAACCAAAAGGAAGGAAAAUAAUUACUGAGCACUUUUAUGUGGCAAGAACUAUGCCGGGUACGUUGCUGGUUAUCUAUCUGAAUUUCCACACCAAUCCUGUGAAAUGAUUCUUAUUAGCCCUAUUUUACAGAUGAAGAAACAAGCUGAGGCUGGAGAAAUGACUUCUUUGAGUUUGGGAAUCAAUCUCCCUGAUUCUGUUAUCCUCGAUUGCCUAUCCUUAUUGUGUGUCCUAGUGCCAGUCUUUUAACCUCUCUGGGCUGGGGUUUUUUCAUUUAUUAAAUGGGACAUGAAAAAGCUGAUUUCUGUAGUCUUAUCUAGCUCUAAUAUUCUAGAUUCUAAAUGCAUUUAAAUGUGUUUAAUUUUUGUUUCCUAAGCUAGAGUUUUGAAUCAUACAGUAACUGAAAUGCUUUAGCCAGAGUACGAUUUCCACCCUUUCCUGGCAAGAGAGGAUAAUGACCCUGCAUUUGGAGGCUCUGGCACAAAGGGAUUUGUCACCCUGACACCAGAAGUGAAAG